rnacentral:lncRNA from 1 species
UGGAGUUCAAUUUGCCAACAUCUAGCAUAACACGACAGAGAUGCUUAUUUCAGCAUUGUGCAUAAAAAUUAGUGGAACCAAAGUAAAUGCUCAUUGGUAGGGAAAUGGUUGAAAAAUCUGUGGUGUAUUCAUACCACUGAAACUUACAAAGCCAUUGAAAAUAGUAAUAUAUCUAUACCAAUUGACUGAGAGAGGGCUGCUGGGGGCAAGAGGCAGAAGAGUUAGUUUCCCAUAGUGUUUUAAGUGAGAAAUACAGUAUGCCAAGGAAUAUAUAUAUGAUCUCAUCUUUUAAAUGAAUGACAAAAAUCUUUAUGUAUGUAUAUACUGUGUGUAAACACAUACAUGUAAAUAUUAUGAGAACAUAGAGAAAAUAUAAAAGAUAUCUAGGCUAUUAGAUUAGUUUGUGAGGAAAAGGACACAAAAUAAGCAAACAAAAACGUUAUUAAAAAAUAGAUGCCCAGGACAAAAAGCAAACAGCCUUCAUAAUAAGGCAGAGUAUAUAAAACCAUAUCCAUCCAUAAAUGCUAGUAUAUAGGUCUAAGGACAUAAAUGAAAGGACAUUCAUCUAAUUACAAUGAGAAUUUCAAAUGAUUUUUACUAACUCCUUAUAUUUUUCUAUACUUUCACAUUUUUUAUUAUUAUUAUUGUUAACUUGUAUUAUUCAUAUAACCUGAAAAAUUAAUAAAGUGAUUUUUAAAACCUACCACUGUCAGUGUGAUCAAUAUUUAGUAGAGCUAACUAAGAAAACUUCAUGCGGGACUUGGUGCCCACUCUCAGCUUUAAAAGACUAGUGGGAAAAAAAUAAAUAAAAUAAAAUAAAAUAAAAUAAAAUAAAAUAAAAUAAAAUACAUAAAUAAAAGACUAGUGGAUUUGGAAGAGAUUUGAAAAAGAAAGGUGUUCCAGGCAGGAAGAACUGCAUAAGUACCAACACUAGACAGAGAAACGAGCCUUGGCACUAGCUCUCAGACAACCUGCCUCAUCUGGAACAGAAGAUAAAGACAACACCCACGGCUGGAAUUCCGUGACCAUAGUUAAAUCAAACAGAUAAGAAGUAGAAACAGCCACCAUCAUGCAUAAGCAAAAACAUAAUUUUUAGAGUUCACAUUAACAAAGGAAACAGCUUGGUUUCUUCAAGUUCUACAGAUUGACAAAUAUUUUGAGUCCUUAGGACUCUGUCCAUGGUGACACCAUGUGUUUCACUCAGAUGUAAACUUCAGUUUGGUAACAUUUUCAUUUUAAACCCUCCUUCCUGUCAGUUUCCAGCUCGGCUGUAAAUAUUUGCUUGGAGGAAAAAUGUCACUAAAGAUCUGAGCUCAAGCUUCCAAAAAAAAAAAAAAAAAAUGAUCAUUUUGAAACAAGAAGUCAUAUUCUGCAUGUUAAUUAAACAAAAAGUCUCAAGACCUAUGGCUUGGAGUUCAUUUCAGAAAAAAAAAUCGUUUUUAUUUAUUAAAUCCUAUGAAUACAAAUAAACUCUUUAUUUGGUAUUCCUUCUUGUUUAAUUCUGCCCUUCUGAGAUAGAAACUUCAUGGGCUUUGCUAGAUAAAUUAAAAGGCUUUCUAGUGUCACGAGGUCUUCUGUCCUCCACGAUAGGGCUCUUUCAUAGGCUGUAAGUUGAGCAACUGUUAAUGGUACGGGAUGCCUGCACUCCCACCAGCAAAGACAGAGUCUAAAUGUCACCAAGCGAUGGUCAUGACCUUGCCCAAACCAACCAGUGUUACACACAACCCCAACUGAAGUUGAUUUCAACCUGAGACACAUUCCCUUUGCUCUUUUACAAGAUGCUCCUCACUCCGUAAAUGGGGCUCGUAGCUAAGAGGACCCCAAUGUUCGUAUUCCCAUCACUGUAUUAAGAAUCAUGACAGCUAAUAUUGUUAUUCCAUUUCCAGGGAAUUGAAAGACACAGAACC